rnacentral:rRNA from 1 species
UACGAAGGGGGCUAGCGUUGCUCGGAAUCACUGGGCGUAAAGCGCACGUAGGCGGAUUGCUAAGUCAGGGGUGAAAUCCUGGAGCUCAACUCCAGAACUGCCUUUGAUACUGGCGACCUUGAGUCCGGGAGAGGUGAGUGGAACUGCGAGUGUAGAGGUGAAAUUCGUAGAUAUUCGCAAGAACACCAGUGGCGAAGGCGGCUCACUGGCCCGGUACUGACGCUGAGGUGCGGAAAGCGUGGGGAGCAAACAGGG